AGCUUGUGUUAAGGCUAUAUAUAUACAUUAUAUAUAUAUAUAUAUAUGUAAUGCUUUUAUAUCCAUCACCUCAAGAACAAGAGUUGCAAGGAAAGAAUGGCGAAGCCAUUGUUUAGCAGCAUUUGCCACAGAUUUAUCAUCAUCUUCAUCACCGCACUCUUCUACUUCCAGUUCCUCAUCCCCCUCGUAUCCGCGCGAUGUUCGCAUUUCUGUCUCCAUUACUACAUUAAAGGUGCUGUUGAUCCGGAUCACCCACGCAGAGAUGGGGCUGGCCACUGAUGGAGUGGAGGUGGAGGAGCCCUUUAAAGCCAAAAAAGAAGCAAUUAAUAAGCUAGGGGAGGAUUGGAUCAUCUUAUAAUUAAGCCAUAUGAUCUGAUUCUUUUGGCCCUUCGCUAGAAAAGUCAAUGAUGUAAAUAAAUUUGUUUCUCCGUAUUAUUCAGGGAAAAAAACAUUUGUUUCUUUUUAUUUUGUUUUCAUUUUGGUUGAAUACUACAACAUUCAUCAUUUCUCUUCAAGCAGAAA